rnacentral:pre_miRNA from 1 species
CAACUACUCCCUCUGACCCAAAAUUCUUGUCUUAGAUUUGUCUAGAUACGGAUGUAUCUAAUACUAAAAUGUGACUUGAUACAUCCGUAUCUAGAUAAAUCUAAGACAAGAAUUUUGGGACGGAGGGAGUACUUU